rnacentral:rRNA from 1 species
CUACGGGCCGCAGCAGUGGGGAAUAUUGCACAAUGGGCGCAAGCCUGGUGCAGCCAUGCCGCGUGUAUGAAGAAGGCCUUCGGGUUGUAAAGUACUUUCAGCGGGGAGGAAGGGAGUAAAGUUAAUACCUUUGCUCAUUGACGUUACCCGCAGAAGAAGCACCGGCCAACUCCGUGCCAGCAGCCGCGGUAAUACGGAGGGUGCAAGCGUUAAUCGGAAUUACUGGGCGUAAGGCGCACGCAGGCGGUUUGUUAAGUCAGAUGUGAAAUCCCCGGGCUCAACCUGGGAACUGCAUCUGAUACUGGCAAGCUUGAGUCUCGUAGAGGGGGGUAGAAUUCCAGGUGUAGCGGUGAAAUGUGUAGAGAUCUGGAGGAAUACCGGUGGCGAAGGCGGCCCCCUGGACGAAGACUGACGCUCAGGUGCGAAAGCGUGGGGAGCAAACAGGAUUAGAUACCCGGGUAGUC